rnacentral:rRNA from 1 species
CAGCAGCCGCGGGAAUACAGAGGGUGCAAGCGUUAAUCGGAAUUACUGGGCGUAAAGCGCGCGUAGGUGGUUUGUUAAGUUGGAUGUGAAAUCCCCGGGCUCAACCUGGGAACUGCAUCCAAAACUGGCAAGCUAGAGUAUGGUAGAGGGUGGUGGAAUUUCCUGUGUAGCGGUGAAAUGCGUAGAUAUAGGAUGGAACACCAGUGGCGAAGGCGACCACCUGGACUGAUACUGACACUGAGGUGCGAAAGCGUGGGGAGCAAACAGGAUUAGAUACCCCUGUAGUCCCUGUCUCUUAUAC